rnacentral:rRNA from 4 species
UAUGACUCUCGGCAAUGGAUAUCUUGGCUCUUGCAUCGAUGAAGAGCGCAGCGAAAUGCGAUAUGUGGUGCGAAUUGCAGAAUCCCGUGAACCAUUGAGUUUUUGAACGCAAGUUGCGCCUGAGGCCAGCUGGUUGAGGGCACGUCCGCUUGGGCGUCAUGC